UCCCCAUUUGAGUGAGGCAGUCCGUCCAGAGUGCUCCAAACUCUCGUUCGGGUGGCAACAGGACAUAGGGGUUGCGCUCGUUGCGGGACUUAACCCAACAUCUCACGACACGAGCUGACGGCAGCCAUGCAGCACCUGUGCAUCCUCCCCUUGCGGGGUCGUCCCACUUUCAUGGUUCUACCAAAUGCAUGUCAAGGCCAGGUAAGGUUCUUCGCGUUGCAUCGAAUUAAGCCACAUACUCCACCGCUUGUGCAGGCCCCCGUCAAUUUCUUUGAGUUUUAAUCUUGCGACCGUACUCCCCGGGCGGCGCGUUUAUCGCGUUAGCUUCGCCACAGAAGGGGUCGAUUCCUCCUACAGCAAACGCGCACCGUUUAGGGCCGGGACUAC
rnacentral:misc_RNA from 1 species